GAUGAACGCUGGCGGCGUGCCUAAUACAUGCAAGUCGAGCGAACAGACGAGGAGCUUGCUCCUCUGACGUUAGCGGCGGACGGGUGAGUAACACGUGGAUAACCUACCUAUAAGACUGGGAUAACUUCGGGAAACCGGAGCUAAUACCGGAUAAUAUAUUGAACCGCAUGGUUCAAUAGUGAAAGACGGUUUUGCUGUCACUUAUAGAUGGAUCCGCGCCGCAUUAGCUAGUUGGUAAGGUAACGGCUUACCAAGGCAACGAUGCGUAGCCGACCUGAGAGGGGGAUGGGCCACCCGGGAACGGAGACACGGCCCAGCCCCCAAGGGGAGGCAGCAGUAGGGAAUCUUCCGCAAGGGGCGAAAGCCUGACGGGGCAACGCCGGGGGGGUGAUGAAGGUUUUCGGAUCGUAAAACUCUUUUAUUGGGGAAAAAAAAAUGUGUAAGUAACUAUGCACGUUUUGACGGUACCUAACCAAAAAGCCCCGGCUAACUACGU
rnacentral:rRNA from 1 species